GCAUCGAUGAAGAACGUAGCGAAAUGCGAUAAGUAAUGUGAAUUGCAGAAUUCAGUGAAUCAUCGAAUCUUUGAACGCACAUUGCGCCC
rnacentral:rRNA from 5 species